rnacentral:lncRNA from 1 species
GCCCGGUCAGGCCUCAGGCUGGCCCCAAGCAGGUCCCCCGAGGUCCCUUAGCAGCUGCUUUUGAUCCCCAGGGACCCCGCACCCUGGCCACCCAUCAGUUAGGCCGGAGGGGCCCAGUGACUCUUGGACCUGAGUCAGGUCCUUUUGUCCCACUGCCUGGCAUGACAGGCACACGGCACUCCAGAGGACUGAGACAGCUGGAGGAUCUUCCUAGAGGGUGAGAGACUAAGGCCAUGCCCUGACAGAUGUAAUAGGACUUCCACAGGCGAAGAGAUUGAGAAAGAAGGCCUUCCACGUGGGAGAAGUCCUGGGAGGAAACACAGACGCAGAAUAUGUCCAGCAGGCUCUGAAACCUGUGUGGUUAGAACAGAAGGUUCCUGGAAAAUAGGAGUGGGUGAGGAGAUCGACUGGGGAGCCUGGCUCACUCUAUAGAAUUUUGCAAACUGAAGAGGGAUCCAAGAAGCAUUUCAGAAAGCCAGAUCUAGCAGGUUUGUGUACAAGGAGUUGGAAAUGAGAUAAACUGU